AGAACCAGCAGCUCAGGGUUGUCUCCAGGAAGGUGAAAUUCAUUGCUAUUCUCUACAAUAGGCUUUGUUAUUUAUGUGUCACACUGUUUGUUUAUUGAAUAGGUAUUUGACAGAAGUAUACUCAGCAGAGCACAUCAGCGGGGAUGGUGUUUUACCAGCAAAUAAAUUAGAAUCAUGGAGUUAGCUAAGGCAUAACUAAGUACAUGGCAUAAAUAUGUCAUUUGGCCAUUAUGAAUUCAUUCAUGUAUACGAAUCUUUAAUGCAGCUCUAUCAAAGCUUUAAAUGAAAUAUUCUCUUUAUAUCAGGCCUGUAUUUUAAUUACAGGCAGGAAUAAUAUUAGUGCAUCCUCCAGGAGCUGUGAAAGUUGGCUAGUGCACUGUGUGACAGCUUCUCUCCAAGGCCUCAGAGCAUGCCCAGCCCCAGCGCAGGCCAGCCCCCAGCAGCACACCUGACCUCUCCUUUUCCUUCCUCUCUCAGCCCUGCUUCUUUCUCCUCCUGUUGCAGUAGCGCAUUGGAAGGCAGAGGGAGAAAUGGGAGUGCAAAGCAGGGGAGGACAGACAGCAGGCUAAGGGAAGAAAGGAGGAAAAAGAACUUAAGAAAGUAAAGAAAGAGACUGUCACAGUGACCAUUCCUCUGCUAUCAAUCAUUGGUGGCGGUGGAGGAGGUGAGUGGGGAGAGACCAGGAGGGGUGCAGGAAGGUCCCAAGCUGCUUGUGGAAGAGCUGAAAGUUUCCAUUUCUAUUCAAAUAUUAUUAGCAUGAUGGGAAAGAGCCAUUUCCCAAGCUUUCUUACAAGUGAUUUUCACCAGGAAUGCAGCUUCAUGUGCUGUUUCUUUUCUUUCUCUCUAACUCUCACUAGUGCCACACACAUCUUAAUCAUGUAUCUUGUCGCCGGCAACCUAGGAUUAUUAUUUUUUUUCUUGACCAAUUUAUACUGAUUGUGUGGGA
rnacentral:lncRNA from 1 species